GAUGAACGCUGGCGGCGUGCUUAACACAUUCAAGUCGAACGGUGAAUACCCUUCGGGGUAUGAUCAGUGGCGGACGGGUGAGUAACGCGUGAGCAAUCUGCCUAUGUGAGGGGGAUAACGUUUGGAAACGAACGCUAAUACCGCAUGAAGCAACGAAUUCGCAUGUUUUUUGUUGCCAAAGAAUUAUCGCACAUAGAUGAGCUCGCGUCCCAUUAGAUAGUUGGUGAGGUAACGGCCCACCAAGUCGACGAUGGGUAGCCGGACUGAGAGGUUGAACGGCCACAUUGGAACUGGAGAAACGGUCCAG
rnacentral:rRNA from 1 species